AUUGUCCUUAACAACAGUUUUAAUAGUUUUUUUUUUUUAACAAAAUACAUUGGAUGUUCCAAACCUUUUAAUAAAUUAUUUUUUUUAGCACCACACUUCCAAAUCAAUACGAACUCACGAGGCUAGUCCACUUUCCAUGCUAUCAUCAAUGACGUGCUAUCAUCAUCACCUUUUCUUUUCUACUUCUGGACUGAAAGAGAUUUUAUUGUCACUAAUUUCUUCCUUUGAACCGGUUUUCCAUUCAAUUGUGAUUCCUCAUAUUUAUUCAACUUGUCGGUAAUAAAUAUCAAAUUUCAAAACUAAAAAGGGUUUUAUCACAGAUGAUUCCUGAAAAGGGAAUUUUAUUUGAACCCAUAUAACAUUUUUCUACACCUAAUUUACUCUUUAUGUCCAUAUUAUUUUUAAUUAAACUAUCAAUAUCUCUUUAAACCUAAAUUUACUACCUAUACUAUCCUUACAAACUCAAUUCAAUAUGUAAAUUUAUUUUUACACCCAUUUAGAAAAUAAAAACCCAAACUUAAUAUUGUUUUACAAUUUCUGACCUUGAAAUAUGAAAUGAAUGGUUUAUUGGAAGUAUACUGCAAUAAACUGUGUUUUUGAGGAUUGAAAAUAUACUGCAAUAAAAUUUAUCCGAAGUAUACGGAAAUCAAUGAAAUUGUGUUUUUAAGGAUUGGAAGUAUACUGCCAAUUGAGUAGCAAAGAUGAUCUCUAAACCAUAACUCCCGAUCAUAAGUUGUAAAUGAUAUUUCUUGGGUAGAGUAGAAUGACGAAAGUAGAACAUGUAAGAAGCAAACAUAGUUUAGUAAAACAGUUCAACAAAAUGCUGGAAAAGUUAAUCAGCCAACUGGUCUUGACUGCUACCUAUAAGCCUUAAGCUAUAUCUCAAAGUGACACGAGUUUGAUAAAUGUAUCGAUGUCCAAGAAGUAAAUAUGUGAUCCAUUUACAAGAACACUAGAGACAUCUCAGAAUAUUCGAAAACAAACAUCCAUAGAAGAAUUGUUUAUGAUAAUAUGGACUUUAGACUAUAAUUGUAAAUCUCAAUCUUCAAAUGAUUAUAACCUUAUGUAAGUUCUUGUAACUUCGUACCUAAAUCAUACAUUAUGCAGAAGACGCAAUCUAUAAAGAUCAAACAUUAGCCGUCGUCGUUUUCUUGGAACCAAUAAAUUCUUAUAGGGUGACAAACCAUUUGUUUCAUAUUUCAAGUUCAGAAUUUGAAGUAUACUUUCAAUCCUCAAAACCACGAUUUCAUUAAGUUCAGUACACUUUGUUGAUGCACAAAAUCAGUGAGGACUUUGGUACAACAGAAAGUGUCAAGUUUGUGACAUUCGCUAGAUUGUUCCGGUCACUAGUGUGGGUAAGUAUGUAAAUGGAUAAAGACAGGGAAGCAAACACAAGAUGUACGUGGUUCACCCAGAUUGGCUACAUCCACGAAGUAGAGGAGUUCUC
rnacentral:lncRNA from 1 species